UACGGAGGACCCGAGCGUUAUCCGGAUUCAUUGGGUUUAAAGGGUGCGCAGGCGGCCCGGUCAGUCAGCGGUGAAAGGCCCGCGCUUCACGCGGGAGCUGCCGUUGAUACUGCCGGGCUAGAAUCUUGGCGAGGCGGGCGGAAUGCGCGGUGUAGCGGUGAAAUGCAUAGAUAUCGCGCAGAACGCCGAUUGGGGAGCCAGCUCGCCAGCCAGGUAUUGACGCUGAGGCACGAAAGCGUGGGGAUCGAACAGG
rnacentral:rRNA from 1 species